GACGUAGGGUGCGAGCGUUGUCCGGAUUUAUUGGGCGUAAAGAGCUCGUAGGCGGCUCGUCGCGUCGACCGUGAAAACCCGCGGCUUAACUGCGGGCUUGCGGUUGAUACGGGCGGGCUAGAGUUCGGUAGGGGAGACUGGAAUUCCUGGUGUAGCGGUGAAAUGCGCAGAUAUCAGGAGGAACACCGAUGGCGAAGGCAGGUCUCUGGGCCACUACUGACGCUGAGAAGCGAAAGCAUGGGGAGCGAACAGG
rnacentral:rRNA from 1 species